rnacentral:tRNA from 1 species
GCCGGAGUGGCGGAAUGGCAGACGCGCCGGAUUCAAAAUCCGGUGGCCGUAAUGGUCGUGUGGGUUCGAGUCCCACCUCCGGUA